AUUUAAAAUGGCUGAUAUGGGAUGAUCAAAUUACGCGGAGUCUUCCUGCCAUUAGAGGAGAAGUCUUUUCUUGCAAGUCUAACGUUGACAGAAGAGAUGGGGAUUGGAUCUGGGCACUUCUUCUUUUCUUCCUAAUGAGAAAUUUCUUUUAAGGAAGAUAUGUUGAAGAUGGAAGGUGGGAUGGGACCAGUUAGACGCAUAUGCUGGACAGCCAAUAUCUCCAAUGAAUAAAGAUUUCCAAUUUCCCAUGGGAUUUCCCCUGCAAGCAUAACAAAGACCAAAGGAGCAAAAUCUCUGUAUUAUAAAGCUAUCGACUUUCUUAACGUGUUCACAAAAGGAAAUUAUUUGCAAAAUAAAAUAGGUAAAAGCAUAUCUAAAGCGAUUAAAUUUAUCAGAUUGCUUGUUUAUGUAUUAUUCCCAAAAGGGGAUACAACGUUUAUGCAAAUAUCAGGGACAAGGUUCCAACUGUAGUUUAGUACCAUAUAAUGCAUAAGACUAAAUAUAGAAGUAAAAACUCUUACCUGUUAAA